ensembl:lncRNA CEROX1 cytoplasmic endogenous regulator of oxidative phosphorylation 1
GGCGCCGCACCACGUGGGCCAGGCGCCCCACGCCUGGAGCUCCCCUCUCUGGAGCCCCGGGAAAGGAAGCGGGGCAGGGAGGCCGGGUGGGAGCAGGGGGGUCUCCGGCGCUUCCUCUCCUCUGCGGGCGCCGCGCGGCUCCUGAGAGUCCGCCCCCCGUCCUGACGCUCAGCUAGGAAGCGGGUCCUCGGGCCCCUCCCCCGACACACACACACACACACACACACACACACACACACACACACACUCUCUCUCUCUCUCUCUCUCUCUCUCUCUCUCUCUCUCUCUCUCACACACACACACACACACACAGCCCGUCUCGCGCCUGAGGUCUCGCCCGCAGGCCGGUGGCGCGGGGUCAGCUGCUGCCUGCGGUCCAGGACAGGGUCGGUUCCGCCGCGCAGCGCCCAGGCCCAGCUCGUCCAGAGUCUGCGGACAGCGCACGUCCAGGCACUUUCCCACACAGGAUGGAGCCGGGCCACCCUCACAGCUCCUGCCCUGCAGACGCUGGCCUUGUGGAGGGAGGCAGGCAGCAGGAGCAGUGCUUUCUGGGCCUCUGUAGCCAGAGCUGGCCCUGCUGCAGCUUACGUCUGCCUGCAGCCCAGACGUCCUCCUGGUCCUCCUGAUGCCCCCGACCUCCACGGAGGACGAGCAUUUCCAGCCCAGCCCUCCCCAUCUUCACCUCGCACUCCCCUGACACACUGGGAGCCUCCUGAUCCGUGAACCCGCGCUGGCGGGAGUAGCUACUGACCGCUGGGGACCCCUGCCCAGGCUGUUCGCAUGUGGAAAGGAUUCAGGGAGCAGGCGAUGCCCAAAGCGUGGAGACCAGCACUGCUCUCUCCCCAGUGACAGUACAGCUGUGCCGUGUACAGGAGGGUGCUGUCUGACGCCAGACACCUGGACUACAGAUCGCAGCCUGAUUCCUGGUCAUUGCUCCACUGAACCCCAGACCCCAGCCUCGUUCUGGGCCCUCAUCCCCUAGAUCCAGGGACCCCAGCCCCAUUUCAGCCCUUGGGCCCUUGUAGGAUGCGAGGCCCUGGGCCCCAGCCCCCAGCCCAUCCGUGGCCCAGGCACUGGGGGGCUGAGGUCCUCUGAGAAGGGACACAGGGCCUGGGGGGCUCUCUCAGCCCAUCAGCAGGAGAGGACUGACUCCAGAAAAAUCAGCGUUUGUACCCACUCAGGCUGCCAAGACCUGUGUCCGUCCUUCCAAGCUCAACCUUCAGAGUUCAUGAGGCCCCUUGCCCAGAAUGUCCACAGAGUUCAUGAGGCCCCUUGCCCGGAAUGUCCACAUUUGAAACCUCCCAACACCGAGCCCCAUUUCAAGUAUAACCAGGAGGGAAAAUGGUGCUUGAAAUAAGCAUGCCACAAAGGAAAACCUGCUUUCUCGAAAUGGGCCCUGGCCGCCCAGGCCCUGACCUCCCCGGCCAGGAUGGAACGUUCCAGAGACCCAUUAGUGCCAAAGGCAAAUGAAAACACACCCUGUGAAAAUGUC